rnacentral:lncRNA from 1 species
AUGUUUGAAAAGGCUCCUUCAGUCUUCCAUGAAAGAAGUCAUUCCUGCAGACUUACAGAUAUUUUAUCACUAGCCUUUCCCCUUCAUCUAACCUGUGUGUACAUGAUUAAUGAUCUCUCUUUGAUCAAGCUUCUACAUGCAUUGCCACUGCAAGUCCUGCUCUGUAUAGUUAUGUUCAGGCAUCUGGAUUCCACAUCAUAAUUUCUUUAGUUUUUUAUCUACUGUCUUCCUUUGCACAAAUGACAAACUGAAAGAAAACAGUGGAAAAAGGCUUUGUAU